GUGAGGAAUAUUGCGCAAUGGAGGCAACUCUGACGCAGCCAUGCCGCGUGCAGGAAGAAGGCGCUACGCGUUGUAAACUGCUUUUAACCGGGAAGAAACCCCAGGACGUGUCCUGGGUUGACGGUACCGGAGGAAUAAGCACCGGCUAACUUCGUGCCAGCAGCCGCGGUAAUACGAAGGGUGCAAGCGUUAUCCGGAUUCAUUGGGUUUAAAGGGUGCGUAGGUGGAGCGUUAAGUCAGUGGUGAAAUCCUGCAGCUUAACUGUAGACUUGCCAUUGAUACUGGCGCUCUUGAGUGCGCUUGAAGUGGGCGGAAUGUGCCGUGUAGCGGUGAAAUGCUUAGAUAUGACACAGAACACCAAUUGCGAAGGCAGCUCACUAAGGCGAUACUGACGCUGAGGCACGAAAGCGUGGGGAUCGAACAGGAUUAGAUACCCUGGUAGUCC
rnacentral:rRNA from 1 species